rnacentral:rRNA from 1 species
CUGGCGGCGUGCCUAAUACAUGCAAGUCGAACGGUCUUUUCUAUGGAAGCUUGCUUCCACUGAGAAGAUAGUGGCGAACGGGUGAGUAACACGUGGGUAACCUGCCCAUAAGAGGGGGAUAACAUCCGGAAACGGGUGCUAAUACCGCAUAGUUUUCUUGGUCGCAUGAUCGGGAAAGGAAAGACGGCCUUUGUGCUGUCGCUUAUGGAUGGACCCGCGGCGUAUUAGUUAGUUGGUGAGGUAACGGCUCACCAAGACGAUGAUACGUAGCCGACCUGAGAGGGUGAUCGGCCACAUUGGGACUGAGACACGGCCCAAACUCCUACGGGAGGCAGCAGUAGGGAAUCUUCCGCAAUGGACGAAAGUCUGACGGAGCAACGCCGCGUGAGUGAAGAAAAGGUUUUCGGAUCGUAAAACUCUGUUGUCAGAGAAGAACAAGUUGGAGAGUAACUGCUCCAGCCUUGACGGUAUCUGACCAGAAAGCCACGGCUAACUACGUGCCAGCCGCCGC